ACCAGACCCUCGGAGAGCCGGAGCGCGCGACAGGCGGCGGGAGGACACUGGCUUCCAAAAAAAUAAACCUACAAUGUAAAAAUACCGCCGGGCGCCCCACGCUAAUUGGGCCCGGGCGACGGCAGCUCACAGGGCUGCAUCUCUGGAGUGUGCUCCUGCCCCCUACCCUGCCCCCUGGAGCAUCUGCCUGAGGCUCCACUCUCAAGCACCAGAGGGAUGGAACCAGAGAAGUGCAACCUCAAGAGGAGACAUCGAGGGAGGACCGUGAUCCAUGCAGCCUCCCUUUUGGUGGCCAGAGGCUGGGGUCACCUGAGCGAAUGUGGACAUCUGCUUUUGGACAUCCCUGUGAGCGCUUCUGGGUAUUUUUCCUGAGAUUCAAGGAGGUCUCCUUGCCAGCAUCUUUGCACCACAUUUGCUAUUUCUCAGCCUCCCAGAGAAUGUCAGGAAUUAGCCCCUGGGUGGCCUGACCUCCCAGUUAGGCCUGGGAAGCCGACAAAAGCCCCAGGAAGUUGGAAGAGCUAGGGAGAAACUGCACUGCUGUGGCUGCCCCACCUGCUUCUCCAAGUGGCCCGCAUCCUGCCUAUGGGCCCAGAGCUCAGGUCCCUAAUCAAGGAAAGAGCAGAGCAUAGAGGUUCGUGCUCAGCUAGGAAGACUUACAGUCUUGGAGCUGAGCAGUUUCGUGUCUCCUGGGUCCCCUUUGGCUCCUGCCUCACACAGUCAAUCCUAAUUCUCAUUUAAAAAAUACCAGCCUUUCGGGAUCCCUGGGUGGCGCAGCGGUUUAGUGCCUGCCUUUGGCCCAGGGCGCGAUCCUGGAGACCCGGGAUCGAGUCCCACGUCGG